CAAAUAUUAUAAUAUAAGAUAGUUAAAAGCAUAAAAACAUUAGAUUAUUAUCAUCUUUCUUAGCCGAAACCAAGAAGGAAGAAAGCCAUUAAAGCUUAGUCAAGUUUCGGUCAUAUUCAAGCUUAAAUUCAAGAUCAAGAAUUAAAGAAAUCAGAUUUGGAUCUGGGAAAGACAAAGGUGGUAGAGUAGCUGAUUUAACGGUCGACGACAUCCGGGAUCUUGAAGUAGUUACGAGCUCGGGGAUCGUCAGUAAAGCUUAUCACACUAUCGACUAACUACGGUAUUUUAUAAAUUGAAAUAUCUUUUGAAAUUAUGGCAUGUAUAGGUUGGGUGGGAAAUAACUUAUUUUAGAAAGUGUAUGUAUUAAAGCCAUGCGAAAAUGGCUUAAGCAUUUUGUAUGUUUGUUAGGUUUUGGUGGAGAUAUGGCUUGAUUAUGUUUUGAUUAUUAUAUAAUCUUUUAUGGAUAGUAUUUAUAAGGUAAGGUAUAUACAUGCUCAUGGUAGUGUUUGAAUUAUAAA